AGGCUGGAGUGCAGUGGCGUGAUCUUGGCUCAUGGCAACCUCAACCUCCUGAGCCCAAGUGAUCCUCCCAUCUGGAGGAGGAAAUUUUGCCUGGACCUCCUCAACUGUUCUCCUGGCCUGCAGGCUCCUGCUAAUGUGACUCUGGCCAUGGCCGUGUUCACCAUCCUGACUUCCAUCUACUUCUUCAACAAAGCUCAGCAGUGAGAAGACCCAGGACCUCCCCACCCAAAAGCCCUGCCUCUGCCCGGACCAUCGCUCUGAGGCCGAAUAAAUAUGGAAUCUCGCUCUGUCGCCCAGGCUGGAGUGCAGUG